rnacentral:tRNA from 2 species
GGGGCCGUGGUCUAGUGGUAUGACGCCGCCUUGACGCGGCGGAGGUCGUGGGUUCGAUUCCCACCGGCCCCA